rnacentral:rRNA from 1 species
UACGGAGGGUGCAAGCGUUAUCCGGAUUCACUGGGUUUAAAGGGUGCGUAGGCGGGCAUGUAAGUCAGUGGUGAAAUCUUCAGGCUUAACCUGAAAAUUGCCGUUGAUACUAUGUGUCUUGAAUAUCGUUGAGGUUUGCGGAAUAUGUCAUGUAGCGGUGAAAUGCUUAGAUAUGACAUAGAACACCAAUUGCGAAGGCAGCAGGCUAAACGAACAUUGACGCUGAGGCACGAAGGCGUGGGGAUCAAACAGG